rnacentral:rRNA from 1 species
UUGGAGGGCAAGUCUGGUGCCAGCAGCCGCGGUAAUUCCAGCUCCAAUAGCGUAUAUUAAAGUUGUUGCAGUUAAAAAGCUCGUAGUUGAACUUCGGGAUCAAGGAAUCGGUCAUGCCUUGGUAUGUACUGGUUUUAUUGGUUCUCACCUUCUAAAGAACCAUAAUGUCAUUCAUUUGAUGUUAUGGGGAAUUAGGACUGUUACCUUGAAAAAAUUAGAGUGUUUAAAGCAGGCUUACGCUUGAAUACAUUAGCAUGGAAUAAUGAAAUAGGACAUCCGAUUCUAUUUUGUUGGUUUCUAGGAUCGAUGUAAUGAUUAAUAGGGAUAGUUGGGGGCAUUAGUAUUCAAUUGUCAGAGGUGAAAUUCUUGGAUUUAUUGAAGACUAACUACUGCGAAAGCAUUUGCCAAGGAUGUUUUCAUUAAUCAAGAACGAAAGUUAGGGGAUCGAAGACGAUCAGAUACCGUCGUAGUCUUAACCAUAAACUAUGCCGACUAGGGAUCGGAUGAUGUUAAUUUUAUAAUGACUCAUUCGGCGCCUUACGGGAAAC